rnacentral:rRNA from 1 species
CAGUCGCCGCGGUAAUACGAAGGUCCCGAGCGUUGUUCGGAAUCACUGGGCGUAAAGGGAGCGUAGGCGGCGUGGUAAGUCAGAUGUGAAAUCCCGGGGCUCAACCCCGGAACUGCAUCCGAUACUGCCAUGCUAGAGGAUUGGAGAGGUAGCUGGAAUUCUUGGUGUAGCAGUGAAAUGCGUGGAGAUCAAGAGGAACACUCGUGGCGAAAGCGAGCUACUGGACAAUAACUGACGCUGAGGCUCGAAGGCCAGGGUAGCGAAAGGGAUUAGAUACCCAGUAGUCCCUGUCUCUUAUACA